rnacentral:rRNA from 1 species
AGUGAACGCUGGCGGUAGGCCUAACACAUGCAAGUCGAACGGCAGCACAGUAAGAGCUUGCUCUUACGGGUGGCGAGUGGCGGACGGGUGAGGAAUACAUCGGAAUCUACUUUUUCGUGGGGGAUAACGUAGGGAAACUUACGCUAAUACCGCGUACGACCUACGGGUGAAAGCAGGGGAUCUUCGGACCUUUCGCGAUUGAAUGAGCCGAUGUCGGAUUAGCUAGUUGGCGGGGUAAAGGCCCACCAAGGCGACGAUCCGUAGCUGGUCUGAGAGGAUGAUCAGCCACACUGGAACUGAGACACGGUCCAGACUCCUACGGGAGGCAGCAGUGGGGAAUAUUGGACAAUGGGCGCAAGCCUGAUCCAGCCACACCGCGUGGGUGAAGAAGGCCUUCGGGUUGUAAAGCCCUUUUGUUGGGAAAGAAAAGCAGCAGGUUAAUACCCCGCUGUUCUGACGGUACCCAAAGAAUAAGCACCGGCUAACUUCGUG